rnacentral:rRNA from 1 species
UACGUAGGGCGCAAGCGUUAUCCGGAAUUAUUGGCGUAAAGAGCUCGUAGGCGGUUUGUCGCGUCUGCCGUGAAAGUCCGGGGCUCAACUCCGGAUCUGCGGUGGGUACGGGCAGACUAGAGUGAUGUAGGGGAGACUGGAAUUCCUGGUGUAGCGGUGAAAUGCGCAGAUAUCAGGAGGAACACCGAUGGCGAAGGCAGGUCUCUGGGCAUUAACUGACGCUGAGGAGCGAAAGCAUGGGGAGCGAACAGG